CUGACCUCGAAUCAGGUGGGACUACCCGCUGAACUUAAGCAUAUCAAUAAGCGGAGGAAAAGAAACUAACAAGGAUUCCCCUAGUAACGGCGAGUGAAGUGGGAUGAGCUCAAAUUUAAAAUCUGGUAGUCUUUGGCAGCCUGA
rnacentral:rRNA from 1 species